rnacentral:rRNA from 1 species
GCUCUGCCUUGUAAACUUCUUUUGAAUGGGACGAAAGAGCUAUACUUGUAUAGUGUUGACGGUACCAUUAGAAUAAGCACCGGCUAACUCCGUGCCAGCAGCCGCGGUAAUACGGAGGGUGCGAGCGUUAUCCGGAAUUACUGGGUUUAAAGGGUGCGUAGGCGGUGAUAUAAGUCAGUGGUGAAAGGCCGUAGCUUAACUAUGGGAUUGCCAUUGAUACUGUAUGACUUGAAUCAGGAUGAGGUUGGCGGAAUGUGGCAUGUAGCGGUGAAAUGCAUAGAUAUGCCAUAGAACACCGAUUGCGAAGGCAGCUGACUGGGCCUUGAUUGACGCUGAGGCACGAAAGCGUGGGGAGCGAACAGGAUUAGAUACCCUGGUAGUCCACGCCCUAAACGAUGCUUACUGGUUGUUUGUUAGAGAUGAUGAGUGACUAAGGGAAACCGAUAAGUAAGCCACCUGGGGAGUACGACC